rnacentral:rRNA from 1 species
UACGUAGGGGGCAAGCGUUGUCCGGAAUUAUUGGGCGUAAAGAGCGUGUAGGCGGUCCGGUAAGUCAGCUGUGAAAGUCAAGGGCUCAACCCUUGAAAGCCGGUUGAUACUGUCGGGCUAGAGUCCGGAAGAGGCGAGUGGAAUUCCCGGUGUAGCGGUGAAAUGCGCAGAUAUCAGGAGGAACACCAGCGGCGAAGGCGGCGCUCUGGGCCGGAACUGACGCUGAGGAGCGAAAGCGUGGGUAGCAAACAGG